UUGGAUUGCAUUUUUA
rnacentral:sRNA from 1 species